AGGCACUCGCGGACUUUGAGCUGCCACUGGUGUCUGAAGCUUUGAGUUUCAAACGAGUCCUUCCGACCUAGGUGCUCUUGCAUGCGUCACUUUGCGCGCGGUCCCUUACAGAGGGGCAGCCUGAUGGAAUACUGGGAGCAGCGCUACGCGGUGAGCGCGCGCUCUAACACCGCCCUCUGGGUUCCGGGCCGGAAGUGAGAAAGCUAGUGGUUGGGUGUGAGAGCCGCGCAGGCCCGGAACCAGGGUGAGACUAACUCAGCAACUGCAGCCCAGUUACCCCCCCCCUACAGAACGGAAUGGACCCGUCCUUCUGUUCUUUCACGCGCGGGACCCGGCCAGUGAGCGGCACGUGUCUGCGGCCACGGCUGAGGAGCGCGCAGUUAUCGCCAGAGGUGGCGCAAAGGCGCUGGGGAGCCGCAGCGAAAAGGAGCAAGGAGAAGCUUUGAGCUGCCUCCGGCUGGUCUCGCGGGACAGGUGCAAGAGGGACCCGCCACUGAUUGUCUUCCUCUGGCACUAGCCCCUGCGACUGCUGCCUCCCUGGGUGUGAUGUUCAUUGUAGCAGGUACGGUCAGCUCAUUCCUCGCCAUCCCCCGCGUAAAAGGAAUUCACAGCACCAGAAAACAGACUGGCACUCUCUGAAGAUGAAAGAAUGUUAAUAUAAAUACAAAUGUAUUUCUUCUAUAAACCUACAUUUACCAGAGAAGAUCAUACAACUGGAAUGUUAUGUUUCUGUCAGAGAUCUUAGAAGACCAAAUUGCCAGCCUGAUAGAAAUAUUUUGGUUGAAGUAUACAGGUGCAAACUUUGUCAGUUCACAAGCAGUAUUGAGAAUAAAAUCAGAAUUCAAAUGAUGAACACUAAAACAGAUCCCAGUGAAUGAGGGAGAGAAGCAAAGAUGAAGUGGAAGCCCAAUUUGAACAUCUCAUAUCUCUUUUGCAUUUCCAGCAUUAAAACCUCUGUUGCAUUUCCAGCAUGAAGUGAAACAUGAAAAUAGAAAAAAAGUCAGAAGGCCAGACCUGAAAAUUGUGACUUAGCUCAGCCUUUGAAAGGUAUUUACACUUUAAAACCAAGUGCUGAAAGAGUACAAUGUUGCCAUGUGUGACCAAAAACGGAAGUGAAAAGAUGCUUAUUAAAUCCAUGUUAAAUAUCAUGGUGACAAUGACAAUGUGUUUUAUUGCAAUAGCUGUAUGACUGAAUGGAACUUACUUGAAAAUAAUGUAACAACACAGAAGUGGGUUGUGCACACGAAAGCUCAUGAUAUUAUAUAUUAGUCUCUAAGGCUACAUUACAGAGGAAGAUCUAAGUUGCCACUGUUGAUCUUCCAGAGUUUGAAUUAGGGGGUCUUGUUAAGACCUCUACUCCUUGUCCCCACAACCUAAAACAAAAGGGUUAUGUGAACCUGCCUAGGGGUUUUAGACUAGGUGGGCAGAGUGACUUUUUGCUGACACUUUUUGGGGAGGUGGAGGGUGAAAAAAGAAGACAGGCAAGAUAGCGAAGAACCAGUCUGUGUUAGUGUAUUACUUUGGAAAAAGUUAGAGUUUUUUGAGUUCAGGUGUAGGCUAAAGUGGCUUGAGGCUGUAAGCUAGUUUAUUUUGCUGCUGAAUUCCUGAUUACUGUUUUCUGUGAGAAACUUGUAUAUCCCAGAAGGGGGCAGCAAAGGGCUAGUAUUGUUUUGUUCUUACUUUAUAAAUAUUUUUAUUUAAUGGUUUACUUAUUACAUACAUUUAAAUACAGAAAACACACAACAAUCACAAAGCCCCAAUUUAAACAUAUGGAAAUUUAUAGUUAAGGAUGUAUGUUUGAACUCUUUCGUUUGUCUUUUAAUUUCAUUUGGUUCAUAAGAGUGAUUUGAGGGUUUUUUUUCCUGCAUAGUAUUACUGAUUCAAAGCUAGUGCAAUGUAGUGUGUGA